CCUACGGGAGGCAGCAGUGAGGAAUAUUGGUCAAUGGACGCAAGUCUGAACCAGCCAAGUAGCGUGCAGGAUGACGGCCCUCCGGGUUGUAAACUGCUUUUAGUUGGGAAUAAAAGGGGGCUCGUGAGCCCCGUAUUGUAUCUACCUUCAUAACAAGGACCGGCUAAUUCCGUGCCAGCCGCCGAGGUAAUACGUUAGGUCCGGGCGUUAUCCGGAUUUAUGGGGUUUAAAGGGAGCGUAGGCCGGCUUGUAAGUCAGCUGUGAAAGUCCGCGGCUCAACCGGGGAAUUGCAGUUGAAACUGGAGGCAUAGAGUGCACAAAGGGAUGGCGGAAUUCAUGGUGUAGCGGUGAAAUGCGUAGAUAGCAGGAAGAACUCCGAGCGCGAAGGCAAGUUUCCGGAGUGCAACUGACGCUGAGGCUCGAAAGUGCGGGUAUCAAACAGGAUUAGAUACCCGAGUAGUC
rnacentral:rRNA from 1 species